rnacentral:rRNA from 1 species
UACGGGGGGGGCAAGCGUUGUUCGGAAUUACUGGGCGUAAAGGGCGCGUAGGCGGCCAUCUAAGUCAGACGUGAAAUCCCCCGGCUUAACCUGGGAACUGCGUCUGAUACUGGAAGGCUCGAGUUUGGGAGAGGGAUGCAGAAUUCCAGGUGUAGCGGUGAAAUGCGUAGAUAUCUGGAGGAAUACCGGUGGCGAAGGCGGCAUCCUGGACCAACACUGACGCUGAGGCGCGAAAGCUAGGGGAGCAAACGGG